AUUGAACGCUGGCGGCAGGCCUAACACAUGCAAGUCGAACGAGUGGCGGACGGGUGAGUAAUGUCUGGGAAACCGCCCGCUGGAGGGGGAUAACUACUGGAAACGGUAGCUAAUACCGCAUACCAUCGGAUUUGCCCAGAUGGGAUUAGCUAGUAGGUGGGGUAACGGCUCACCUAGGCAACGAUCCCUAGCUGGUCUGAGAGGAUGACCAGGCACACUGGAACUGAGACACGGUCCAGACUCCGACGAGAGGCAGCAGUGGGGAAUAUUGAACAAUGGGGGCAAGCCUGAUGCAGCCAUGCCGCGUGUAUGAAGAAGGCCUUCGGGUUGUAAAGUACUUUCAGCGAGGAGGCGUUACUCGCAGAAGAAGCAACGGCUAACUCCGUGCCAGCAGCCGCGGUAAUUC
rnacentral:rRNA from 1 species